rnacentral:pre_miRNA from 12 species
UUUCAGCAGUACUAAAGUGCUUAUAGUGCAGGUAGUGUUUCUACCUUAUCUACUGCAAUGUAAGCACUUGAAGUACUUCUAACU